CUUGUGUGAUGCACAGCAUCGUAAGGACUAAGAACUUUUAGUGCCAUGGAGAGCUAGAAACCUACAGUAGCCUCACACUAAGAGUAGUCACCUCUGGAGAGCCAUCAAAUGAAAAUGCACUGUGAUUUGUUGUAAAGUCUUCUAAGACAACAUUCUUCAAGACACAGGAAUCAGAUGAACUAGAGGCUUGCAGACAUCAAGGAUGUGACUUUACUCCUGAGUUCAUGUAUGUUUUUCAUCCAUGUAGGACACUCUUUUGCUGCUCAUCCACAUAUAAAAACCUUUCACCCACGUUUAACAUGACUUUCAAUGGACAUUAUCUGGCAUGGCUGGACAUAUGGGUAAUAUCCAGAAUCUGCUUUCACUCGGGCUGCUCCACUUAGAAAUGAAGUUAAAUCACUGGAGAGCUAAUAGUCAUAUAGUGCCUUCCACAAUACUGCAGAUAUGUCCAGAAAAUCAGAAAAUUAUUCCCACAAGCUACUAAGAAUCAAGGGACGAUUCACCAGUCUGCAGCACAAAGUAUAUACAAUCUACACCUAAAAGUCUAGUGUCACAAAGGUGUACCAUCAGGGAUUGUUCACAUAUAGGCCAUGCUCAAAGCAGGGUGUCAGUUGAGCUCUCUCUGAUGUGAACUGAAGGUUUACCUUAAGUAAAUGCAGGAGCAAAAACAAGCCAUUAAUACCUUAACUGUCAGACAGUCCAAGGUAACAAUAACAUCUUGGCAUGGAUGGGGUGCUCGCUCAAAAGUAAAUUUUAUAUAUAAGAUAUAAUCAUAAUUGCCACUCACCAUAAAAGUCAAUGACUGAAUGGAGCAGAACUGGAACUACCUUGGGUGAAAUCUGGAUCCCACGGUGGUAGUUACUGGAAAUUUGGACUUCUGCCAUAUAUACACCAGAUAAAUAUGAUUUGUUUAUGCAACUCUAAAUUAAAUCUGGAUGGCAAUUUUUAUUUUAAGAUUCUUCUAAGGAGAACCCAAAUUUCAGGUUUUGCCUUUCUGAAUACCUGCUUCUACUGGCCAAAAAGAGGUCCAAAAUCCUCUGGAAAGAUUAUUAAAUUAUGAAAAAAAUGGUGCUAGAAGUAAUUAAUCCUUUGUACAAAUGACAAAUACUUACCUAACAUUUGUAUAAUACCUGGAAUGUGAAAUGCUUAGAAUAUUUAAACUUAGAUUUAUAAGUUACCUCAUCACAAAUAAGAACAAACAAACCCCCAAAUAUGCCAGUUUUUCAACUGCCUAGCAUGGAUUCCAUUUAUCCACAACUUCCAGGAUAUUACUAAUAAAAGUAAUUAGAUUUUAGGUUCCUUAUUUUUUUUUUCAGCUUGAGACAACCUUAAAAGGCUCAGUUCCUGAAAAUCAGAACCUUUGAAUAUAUAUAAAGUUGGACACCAAAAAUAUGAGACUCCCAAAACAUUGGUCACUUUCGAACUCUUGGACUAAUUUUUAAAAGUGUCUUUCAUUAAGAAGGAUUACAAGUCUUUGUUGUUUGUUUGUUUUGCAAAUCAAAGCCCAAUCUUACAAGAUGAUGAGUGCCUUUUGUACAGAUCUGAGUAGCUCUGAGGGUGUAGGGUACCUUGCAGGUUUGAAUCAUAAUUAUGUUCUUUUUGAAGUCAAUGGAAAAACUCCAGAAAGGCCUUUUGACACCUUUUGAAUCAGGCCUUGACUAACAAAGAUUAUUCAUGAGCCACUUCAAUUACCAAUCAAUCUCAGUCAUGUUUGGUUUGAUAUGUGGUAAUGUUUCACAUAGAAACUGUGCCAAAACAUCAAGAAAGAAAAUGAGGAGCUCUUACCUUGAGAAGGUCAAGUGUGAUUUAAUAUCUUAUUAUUGUAGUUUGGGCUUGAUAAUGAUGAGAACUGGAAAUGAAAUGGAAGAGAAAAAAGAAAAUAUUUGAACUCCAGUUUAAUUUUUGCUCACACAUUGAUUUGUUUAUAUAUUUACAAUAACUUCUGUACUUUCAGCUCGAUCUAGGGAGCUCAGCACCCUGAUAGUUGGCUCUGGAUGGUUUAUUGACUAUUUGAGGGACAGGGAAAAAAAAAAUUAUAUCUGCAACCUGUUUUCCUUCUAAAGCCUGCUGUCCCACAAGGGAAACAAAUGUGCAUCUGACUGUUAAAAAUGAUAACCAGUAUAAUACCUGAACAAUUAUAAAUGCCUGUGAAGAUUUCAUUUAGUUCUAUCUCAAGAGACACACUGUCUGCUAACAGUCAAAACUGAUGGGCCUUUGGGAUGGGAUUUUGUAGCCAGCACAUGUCUGCUUGUUUUGUUUUGUUUUGAAUAAUUCAACUCGCCAUUAAAAUACCAUGGGUUUUUGCAAACAUCCUCUUUCCAAGGAUCCUUUUUUCUCUCUGGAUUUCUCAUUUCACCAUAUUUUAUUUUAUUAUCUUCCAAUAAAAGUUACAAGCUA